GCCGGGAUUCCCGAGCCUGGUACGGGGCAGUUUCGUGAAGAAGCCCAUGCCUGGAAACUGGCUUGAAAGCCUGUGGUCCUUACGGGCCUCGUGGGUUCAAAUCCCACUCCCGGCG
rnacentral:tRNA from 1 species